AUUGAACGCUGGCGGCAGGCCUAACACAUGCAAGUCGAACGAGUGGCGGACGGGUGAGUAAUGUAUGGGAAAAUGCCUGAGGGAGGGGGAUAACUACUGGAAAAGGUAGAUAAUACCGCAUACCAUCGGAGGAGGCCAGAUGGGUUUAGAUAGUAGUUGGGGGAAAGGCUCACCUGGGCGAGGAUCCCUAGCUGGUCUGAGAAGAUGACCAGCCACACUGGAACUGUGACACGGUCCAGACUCCUACGGGAGGCAGCAGUGGUGAAUAUUGCACAAUGGGCUCAAGCCUGAUGCAGCCAUGCCGCGUGUAUGAAGAAGGCCUUCGGGUUGUAAAGUACUUUCAGCGGGGAGGCGUUACCCGCAGAAGAAGCACCGGCUAACUCCGUGCCAGCAGCCGCGGUAAUUC
rnacentral:rRNA from 1 species